rnacentral:rRNA from 1 species
CUACGGGUCGCAGCAGUAGGGAAUUUUGCGCAAUGGGCGAAAGCCUGACGCAGCAACGCCGCGUGAUCGAUGAAGCUCCUAGGAGUGUAAAGAUCUGUCAUAAGGGAAGAAAAGUUUUAAUAUUAAUAGUAUUAGAAUUUGACGGUACCUUAUAAGAAAGCACCGGCUAACUUCGUGCCAGCAGCCGCGGUAAUACGAGGGGUGCAAGCGUUGUCCGGAAUCAUUGGGCGUAAAGGGUGCGUAGGCGUCCGAGAAAGUUAUUUGUUAAAUCCUCCGGCUUAACCGGAGUUCUGCAAGUAAAACUACUCGGAUAGAGUUUAAGAGAGGAAAAUGGAAUUCCUGGUGUAGCGGUGACAUGCGUAGAUAUCAGGAGGAACAUCUAUGGCGAAGGCAGUUUUCUGGCUUAAAACUGACGCUGAGGCACGAAAGCGUGGGGAGCAAACAGGAUUAGAUACCCCCGUAGUC